UCGGACGGAGAUUAAGUAGCUUGCUAUUUAAUCUUAGUGGCACACGGGUGAGUAAUAUAUAGCUAAUCUGCCCUACACUAGAGGACAACAGUUGGAAACGACUGCUAAUACUCUAUACUCCUUCUUUACAUAAGUUAAGUCGGGAAAGUUAAUAAAAUUUGCUUUUUGGUUUCAUCUUGAGAGAUAUGGACGUAUAACAACUAAAUUGAUACGCCGAUGUGGCAAACAUCGGUGUGCUUUAGGUGGGUCAAGGGAGCGCUGCGCUUCUUGUCGCAAAGAAAGGCUUUGCCUUUCUGCGAAGUCCGUAUUUGUCAAGAUGAAAUCUUGCAAAUGUAUUUUUUCGGUGUAGGAUGAGGCUAUAUCGUAUCAGCUAGUUGGUGAGGUAACGGCUUACCAAGGCUAUGACGCGUAACUGGUCUGAGAGGAUGAUCAGUCACACUGGAACUGAGACACGGUCCAGACUCCUACGGGAGGCAGCAGUAGGGAAUAUUGCUCAAUGGGGGAAACCCUGAAGCAGCAACGCCGCGUGGAGGAUGACACUUUUCGGAGCGUAAACUCCUUUUCUUGGGAAAGAAUUAUGACGGUACCCAAGGAAUAAGC
rnacentral:rRNA from 1 species